rnacentral:lncRNA from 1 species
AUGGAAGCUGAAAACUCAGAGAAGAGGCAGUCCAGUCCAGAGUUGGUAAACACAAAUACUUCUCACUUCUUCAAAAGUAAACAAGAAAACCUGAAGGCCAGUAGAGACCAGCCUCUGAGUGCUAACGAAAACACCUCCCAGGGUCCCCUGAGGUUUAACUCAGGAAUGGAAUGCCAGCAUAUUUACCCAGCACAUCAGGCAGUCUUCUGUCAAAUCAACACUUUCCUGACCUAAGGUAUCUCAUGGACAAGGGCUGCACUAGAUCUCAGCUCUAGAGCUGAGCUUCAUCUCAUCAGAAAGGCAAGUUCAAAAUGAUAUUAUAAUCCAGAUGCAACUGUAGGUUUCAUAAAUGAGAACUCAUCCUUUAGGGGUGUGACUGAAAGCUUCCAGACACAAUAUAUGGCACCAUCAAUCAGUUGUUUUUUUUCUGUAGAUUUUAAAUAGGUUCAGAAUAACACUUGUUAUUAUCUCAGUCUUCUGAGUGACUGAAUUGUCAGAAAAAAUCAAUAAUUUGGAAAAAUACAGCAUCCAGCAAAUACUUAGAGUUUAAAAAUCCUCCAUCACUACUCUGGCUACUGUGUUAGCUUUAUAAUCUGUAAUAGGAAGGCAUCAUUCAUAUCCCCUAACUGCGCAGUCAGUUUGCAAUAUAUUCCCAUGACAGUAUCAUUUCUCUUUCUCCCUCAUCCAAAUGCUUUUCAUAGAUACUUCUGCCUCCA